rnacentral:misc_RNA from 1 species
AAGUCGUAACAAGGUCUCCGUAGGUGAACCUGCGGAGGGAUCAUUAACACGUUUUUUAUUAAACGUUUCCAACCAAAUCUCGUGAGCCUUACCAAAACAACCCUCGCAACCAUGUGGACGUCAGGUGGUGGUACUGCUGCCUUCUAACAUUUUUGUUAGAGGCAGUGGAGCUGCUACUUGGCAGGUUGCCCGAUUUUUUUUUUAAACCCUUUCCAAUUUUACCAUACGGUUUAUAGUGUGGUGUGUAGCUCUUACCGGGCUGCCCCGUUUAUAAAUCAAUGUGCGAGCACAACUCUUAGCAACGGAUAUCUUGGUUCUC